rnacentral:rRNA from 1 species
GGCUUCGGCAACCUGGACCGCCGACGCCAAUUAAUCGACUACAUCCGGCAGGAAGAUAUCGACAUAGUAGGUCUGCAGGAAAUGAUUCGUCAGGACUUCUCCAUUCAUGAGUUACAGGGGCUCUCUAGACACCCGUUUUCCUGGCAAUGGCUGCUGGCGUCUGGGUUGUAUGGAGGCAUCCUUCUAGGGGUCAGGGAAGAGUUCUUCUCGGUAGAGGAUAUGGACCGCGGAGAAUUCUUCCUUAGUAUGUCCAUCACCGACCGACGUGUGAACCUUAGUUGGGAGGUGACCAUUAUCUAUGGCCCGGCUGACCAUAGGCGGUCAGCGGAGUUCUUGGCCGAGCUGAAAGAUAAGGUAGAACGCUGCACUACGCCGGUUGUAGUGGCUGGGGACUUCAACCUUAUUCGGCAGGAGGCUGACAAGACCUCCCCUAACAUCAAUCGGAUGCGAAUGCGCAUGUUCAAUGACUGCAUAGAAAUUUUUUCCCUACGUGAGAUAGCUCGUGUAGGGGCUAGGUUCACAUGGAUCAAUAAACAGGUGGACACUGGUACAACGACGUGCUAA